CAGUCGCCGCGGUAAUACAGAGGGUGCAAGCGUUAAUUGGAAUUACUGGGCGUAAAGCGCGCGUAGGUGGUUUGUUAAGUUGGAUGUGAAAUCCCCGGGCUCAACCUGGGAACUGCAUCCAAAACUGGCAAGCUAGAGUAUGGUAGAGGGUGGUGGAAUUUCCUGUGUAGCGGUGAAAUGCGUAGAUAUAGGAAGGAACACCAGUGGCGAAGGCGACCACCUGGACUGAUACUGACACUGAGGUGCGAAAGCGUGGGGAGCAAACAGGAUUAGAUACUCGUGUAGUCCCUGUCUCUUAUAC
rnacentral:rRNA from 1 species